AGUGAACGCUGGCGGUAGGCCUAACACAUGCAAGUCGAACGGCAGCACAGGAGAGCUUGCUCUCUGGGUGGCGAGUGGCGGACGGGUGAGGAAUACAUCGGAAUCUACUCUGUCGUGGGGGAUAACGUAGGGAAACUUACGCUAAUACCGCAUACGACCUACGGGUGAGAGCAGGGGAUCUUCGGACCUUGCGCGAUUGAAUGAGCCGAUGUCGGAUUAGCUAGUUGGCGGGGUAAAGGCCCACCAAGGCGACGAUCCGUAGCUGGUCUGAGAGGAUGAUCAGCCACACUGGAACUGAGACACGGUCCAGACUCCUACGGGAGGCAGCAGUGGGGAAUAUUGGACAAUGGGCGCAAGCCUGAUCCAGCCAUACCGCGUGGGUGAAGAAGGCCUUCGGGUUGUAUAGCCCUUUUGUUGGGAAAGAAAUCCAGCUGGCUAAUACCCGGUUGGGAUGACGGUACCCAAAGAAUAAGCACCGGCUAACUUCGUGCCAGCCGCCGCGGUAA
rnacentral:rRNA from 1 species